rnacentral:rRNA from 1 species
UAUCAUUUAGAGGAAGGAGAAUUCAUAACAAGAUUUCCGUAUGUGAACCUGCGAAAGGAUCAUUGUCGGGACCCAAAUCAGGAACAAUGGCAAACAUGCAAAACAAGCGUCGCGUGCCCCCCAAGCUGGUACCGGCCCACUGUCGGGCACCCAGAUGAACCAUAGACCCCAGAGUGCAAUGGGCGCCGAGAAAUACUAACCGCGGGGUCCUCAUACAAGGGGCCCCACUAGGGCUUCGGUGCCCUCGGCACAUCAGCAAACCCCGAACAACUCUCAGCAAUGGAUAUCUCGGCUCUCGCAUCAAUAAAAAACGUAGCGAAAUGUGAUAUUUGGUAUGAAUCGUAGAAUCCCGUGAACUAAAUCGUCUUUGAAUGGAAGUUGUGCUCGAGGCCUUGCGGCCGAGGGCAUGCCUACCUAGUGUCACGCCAUCGGUGCUCCAAGGCUACUCAAACCCAGAAGCAGAAGCUAGCCCUCUGCGCCCCACGCAUGGCCGGCCAAAGACACAACUACCGAGUCCCCGAGCGACACGCUGGGUGGUGGACGCCCACGAGCGAGCACGGGCACAGUGCCCACAACACGUGCAGCUGCACAUAGACACCCAUGAUC